rfam:Rattus norvegicus chromosome 16, whole genome shotgun sequence.
GGGGGUUUGGCUCAGUGGUAGAGCGCUUGCCUAGCAAGCGCAAGGCCCUGGGUUCAGUCCCCA